rnacentral:misc_RNA from 1 species
GUAUUUAAUUUAUUUUUGGUCUUCCAAAAAUUUGAUGUUUUUUUCAGGGCUUGCUUCAAGAAAAAGCAAGAAAAGUUUGUCAACAUGAAAGAGGAAGAAAAAACUCUGGCAGCGCCGGAAGGAAAGGGAGGUGAGAAAAGAAGUUUCUCCUCUCUCCCCCCUUUUUCCCUCCACAGAGAAAAACGGUAAAGAAUCUCCCCCCGCAAACUGCCAAAGCAAACAUGUCAAUGAUGUGCACACGAAGGUGGAUAUGGAUUUGAACCAUCCAUAUACAAAGGAAAAUGGACAAUUAUUAAUGAUCCUUCCGCAGGUUCACCUACGGAAA